GACAAACCUGACGUGAAAGAGAAGAGAGAAGUGUGAUCAUGUGGACAAGCUCUGUAGAAAAAUAGGUUAAGUCUCGCUAACAACGGUGAUGAAUACCUCCUUGGAGGAGGCUGGAAUAAAAUCCUAGUAGGGGAUAUGGGUUAUAUUUAAUGGCCUUCAUCAGUCAAAGUCAAAACAAAGGGGCAGAUCACCCUGGGAGUCAUCCAUCAGUAACACUCAGGAAUAUCUCAAGGCUCAGCUGUGAUUUAUGACUUUGUUGUGCUCUGCGGCCCAGAUUGCAUCACUCGACGACGCUGGAAAAAUAGUGUGCACUUGUUGUUUUAGCUGAUGCCGCCGUAUCAAUUACUGUUGCAUGUAAAUGUAAGUAAAGCUCAUCUGUCAUAGCCCUCAUGAUAAAAGGCCAAAGAUUUCCAAAUUGAAAACCAGAAAGUUGGCUGUGAGUCUGCUUAACACAAUAUAAACAAAUUAUAUUAUCGUUCAAGAUUGCAUAACUACAGAUUUUUUUUCUUAGUGCACAGACAGUCAGUAGUCCCCUAAUGUCAAGACUGACGCCACUCGAAAGUCUAGUCUGACAUCGUAUUAAUAAAUAUCGUAACACUGAGACACAACAAUGACAACAAAAGAGCAAGGCUCUCGAGGUUUUAUUUCUCAAUUAAUUUUAUGGCUGAUGGCGACAAGAAAAGGUCACCACCAGACUUCCAUGAUGUUCCACUUGAAGAUUUCUCAUGUCAGAUUGUAACUACAAAUAUUCACAACUGCAAGCACGGGGGCCCAUUUGUCCAAAAAAAGACAUGUGAAGGACAUUUGAGUGGCUGGAAUGAGCCCACACAGAGAGCUCUAUACACGGCACAAAAGGAACUGUGUAAGUACAACUGUACUGUACAAUGUGCAUUAACACACACACACACACAAAAGUCAAAAGAAUGGCCUUGUGUGAUAUCAACAGGAUGUCAAGCUGUGGCUGGAACUCUGCUGCAUCUUUGUCCCACAAGAAUGGGAAUGAAUGGAUACAGACCCACACUCAUACACCCGGCAACUAAGAAGAACAUAAAACGGGGAAGGUUUCAGUUCAGUAGGCAAAAAGUUUCCCAUUUGAAUUCGGAGCUAAGUGUGUGUGACCGGACCCGCAUUUGACUUUAGAAGGGCUGAAAUGUACGUCAUGGAGCCUUGUAUAUUUCCUGUGAAACAAGUGAAAAUGCCCAUUGCGUCCAUAAUUUGAUGGCUUCUUCCUCCCAACCUUUCAACAAGAUUCAUGACAAUCUGCUUGCAAACAGGAAACAACGGACGGAAAGCAUCCGCGGAUGACGUGAUGGUUUCAAGCGACAACAUGUGUCCAUCUGACCUUAGGUUCAAACUCAUUUGGGUGGGUCUGAACUUGCCGUUUUGUUUUGUUAUUUUUGAUCAGACAUUAAAAUCAGGACUGAACUAUUAAGGAAAAAUAAUCAAAUUGAGAUUUUACUCUGUUUUUUUUUAAACCCACCCACCGACAAAAAUCAGGGAGGGUGGAACGGUUCAAUUGCAUUUCCAUGUAUUUCAAUGGAAAACUCUACCUUGGUUCACAAACACUCAAGAUAACAAACUGUCCAUUUUUAUCUGGUUCAGUCUGGCUUUAAAGGGUCACUUCUGUCACGCCAAUGCAGAUCGUGUUAGGGAAAAAGAACUCGGGGGCAUCGUCUGGUUGCCAUGUGAUCCACAAACACAGCUGCAGAACAGCAGAAUCGCUCUGGAAU